rnacentral:rRNA from 1 species
UGACCUCGGAUCAGACGUGAUUACCCGCUGAAAUUUAAGCAUAUUAUUAAGCGGAGGAAAAGAAACUAACAAGGAUUCCCUAGUAACGGCGAGUGAACGGGGAAGAGCCCAACACCGAAUCCCUUGGCGCAAGUCAACGGGAAAUGUGGUGUUAAGGUAGCCCUUCGUGUCAGUCUAGGCGUCUCAAGUCCACCUGAUUGUGGCUCAAGCCCAGAGAGGGUGUAAGGCCCGUAGAGACGCUCCGACUGAUUCCUGGGGUUUACCUACGAGUCGGCUUGUUUGGGAAUGCAGGCCAAAGCGGGUGGUAAACUCCAUCCAAGGCUAAAUACUGGCACGAGUCCGAUAGCGCGGACAAGUACCGGUGAGGGAAAGUUGAAAAGAACUUUGAAGAGAGAGUUCAAUAGUACGUGAAACCGCUUAGAGGCAAACGGAUGGUGCUCAUACUGGCCUGAGGAAUUCAACUGUGACGGUGGCUGGACGAGCUGGCGUUCCGAUCUCUCUUUUGGGACGGGCGUCGGUUUGGCUAUCAGCUCUGACAUGGUGCACUUUCCUUGGUGCCCUCCGCCACGACCGACGACGACACUGGCUACCCGCGGCUGGGGUAAGGUGACAAACUGCUUCGGCAAUUUGUGUUAUAGACCCCGGCGUCGGACAUGGUUUGGCCAGGACGUCGAGCUUGCGGCGCCCGCUCCUUGUGGGCUCGCAUGUUGGCUAGCUUGGCUGCGCCGAUGCUUGCACUGGACAACCAGUACAGGUGACGGUUGUGGUCUUGUCUCUAGUUGGCCUCUGCGAGUUUGGCGCCCUAUAGUCUGUGGUGUACUUGUGGGUAGACUAUCCGACCCGUCUUGAAACACGGACCAAAGGAGUCUAACAUGUGCGCGAGUCAUGGGGGAUUCUACGAAACCCAAAGGCGCAAGUGAAAAGUAAAGGCCUGCUUCUCGUAGGCUGAGGUGGGAUCUCGUGCAUCGCGAUUGGCGAGCGCACCACCGGCCCGUCCUAUCUGUCUCUGUCAGUGGGGCGGCGCAAGAGCGUACACGUUGGGACCCGAAAGAUGGUGAACUAUGCUUGCGCAGCUCGAAGUCAGUGGAAACACUGAUGGAGGAGCGCAGCGUUUCUGACGUGCAAAUCGAUCGUCAAACGUGAGUAUAGGGCGAAAGACUAAUCGAACCAUCUAGUAGCUGGUUCCCUCCGAAGUUUCCCUCAGGAUAGCUGGCACUCGGGAAACAGUUUUAUCCGGUAAAGCGAAUGAUUAGAGGCAUUGGGGUCGAAACGACCUCGACCUAUUCUCAAACUUUAAAUGGGUAAGAUGCUCGUCUCGCUUAAUUGGAGGCGGGCUUCACCUCUCUAACGUGAAUGAUGUGAGUGCCAGUGGGCCAUUUUUGGUAAGCAGAACUGGCGCUGUGGGAUGAACCAAACGCGCGGUUAAGGCGCCCAAUGCGGACGCUCAUGAGACACCACAAAAGGUGUUGGUCGAUACUGACAGCAGGACGGUGGCCAUGGAAGUCGGAACCCGCUAAGGAGUGUGUAACAACUCACCUGCCGAAUCAACCAGCCCUGAAAAUGGAUGGCGCUGGAGCGUCGGGCCUAUACCGUGCCGUUGGGGCGAAGCAGACAAAUAAUCUGUGUGGAUGUCCCAACGAGUAGGAGGGUCGCCGUGGUGAGCGCAGAAGGUGCGGCCGUGAGGCCGGCUGGAGCCGCCACGGGCGCAGAUCUUGGUGGUAGUAGCAAUUACUCAAAGUGAGAACCUUGAGGACUGAAGUGGAGAAGGGUUCCAUGUGAACAGCAGUUGAACAUGGGUCAGGCGGUCCUAAGCGAUCGGGUAACUCCGUACCUAGACGAGGGUGACAACUAUCACUUAACUAUACUGUGACGUGUUAUAGCCCUCCGGAGCGAAAGGGAAUCGUGUUAAUAUUCACGACCCUUACCGUGGAGAUCGCCCCUUUCGGGGGGCAAGUGCGGUAACGCAAACGAACACAGAGACGUCGGCUGGAGCCCCGGGAAGAGUUCUCUUUUCUUUGUAAGGAGCGUACCCCCUGGAAUCGGCUUGUCCGGAGAUAGGGGCGUGGCUUCCGUAAAAGCAGCGCGGGUCUUGCGCUGUCCGGUGCACUCUAGUCGGCCCUUGAAAAUCUGUGGGAGACAGUGUGAUUUUCACGGUAGGCCGUACCCAUAUCCGCAGCAGGUCUCCAAGGUGAACAGCCUCUAGUCCUAGAACAAUGUAGGUAAGGGAAGUCGGCAAAAUGGAUCCGUAACUUCGGGAAAAGGAUUGGCUCUGAGGGCUGGGUCGGAUGGGCUGGCGUAAGAAGCUGUUCCGGUUUUGGUGAGGACUGGGCGAGGCUUUCGGGCUUUACUCGGACCAUGCCGAGACCAGGCAGUAGACGACGUCAGCUGUGCUUGUCGUGUUUCGGCGCGGCAGCUUCGUCCGGCAACAAAACAGCCAACUCAGAACUGGCACGGACUAGGGGAAUCCGACUGUCUAAUUAAAACAAAGCAUUGCGAUGGCUGUUGCUCGGUGUUGACGCAAUGUGAUUUCUGCCCAGUGCUCUGAAUGUCAAAGUGAAGAAAUUCAAUCAAGCGCGCGGUAAACGGCGGGAGUAACUACGACUCUCUUAGACGGGCCGCUUGAUGAUGGUGUGCUGGACUGAGAGACAAACCUGAGCGUGGGCGUGGGCAGACCAGCCUGCUGUUACUUGGUGGACAUGCAGGUUAGGCCACUGCCACCUCGAGAUGGUGAAACUAUGCUAUGUUGAGGCAGAAGCUUGGCCGAAGCUUGGAUGACUGUUCAGUAAUGGCGGCUGGAUGCCGGGGGCUCCAGUUCGAAAAAUGGCUCCACUACUGGGGAAACCUGGUAGAGGGUGAACAUUACUGAUCAGGAUUCCGGGCUAAAGCUUUGCUUCUAGUGCGGAUGAUUGUGAGGAUUGUUCUGCCUUCGGAUUGGGUGGCCCCCCGCACCCCGGUUCGGUCUGGUGGUUCGAUUCUCACCGGAGGGAUCCUUGCUCCGUAGGUACGCCCUUGGAGUAGGGGGAACUUCGCUCGAAUUGAAACACGGAUCAGGAUCGGGCCUGCACGCGCUAUGGUCGGGUGCGGCUCGAACUCUAACAUACUUUCAUUUAGCUGGUCUCCGCUUAGGCGGGUCCGGGUUUCGAUUCGGAUGUUGAUGAUCGCAGGGUAAAGGCGCGAUGGCAGAGCUGGCUCGUCUUGGCGACGCCGGAGUGCUUAUCCCUGUCUGACAGUGUUGGUGCCUCCAAGUGGCGAGAGUCGGGCAACGGUGCGGUCGAGUGCGAUGUAUAUAUGUACUUUUUUAUUCUGUUUAUCUUUUAUUUUCACUUUAUUAACUUUUUUCUAACUUUAAUUUUAAUCGUUCUGGUAUUGUUACCUUUAUAUUUCUCAUUAUUAUUAUUAUUACUUACAUCGUACUCGGUCGUAGCGGCUAAAUCCCACUGUCUAAUCAGCUAGUUCCGGGUUAGCUCCCCCGGUUCUGGCUUUGUGUCAUCCACAGGCUCCGAAGACUAAGACUACUAAGAAAAAUUCGAACUCGGCCACUGCCGAGUCGCAGGGUGACACCUGCACCUCCCCGAAAGGGGGUCAGGGUGCCAGUUGGAGCUGUCCGGAUUGUGAGAGAGCGUUUUCGACCAAGACGGGGCUUGGAGUCCACCGCAGGGCUCGGCACCCUAGUAGUUUCCAUCAGCAGAAGUGUGAGGAAGUUGAGAAGCAGAGUAAGAGACGGUGGACGGAUGAGGAGAAGCAUAUCCUAGCUAGAGCUGAGGCAGGGUUUAGCGGAGCCGAGGCAGGUAUUAAUGACUUAUUAGUAGCAGCAAAUAUUCUUCCGGGAAGGACUAAGGAGAGCAUUAAGGGGGCCAGAAAGGCGGCAGCUUAUAAGCUCUUGGUUGAGAAAUUUAGAGAGGAGCGUAGUACCGAGCUUGCGGGUCAGAGUGAGAGUGCUGGUACUAGGGACGUGGAGGAGAGUACGGCUAUUAGUGCUAGCGUUGGUAGUGAGAGUAGCCAGGAGAUGGAGUCCAGACCGGAAUUAACUACAAAACCCAAAAAAACUAAUAUAAAACAGAAAAAAUCCAAAAAAAGAUGACAGAGUAGGCAACGCAGGUCCGUCCUCCUCCAUGGGGUCCGGGGCUUGCUCUCCAAGGUUGGAAGGUAUCCCGGAGGUCGGGUCCGAAGAGGUGAAUAAGGUAGAGGCAGAGGCUAGCAGAGGUAUUAAUAGGAAAGCGGUAGAGUGGGUUCUUAGUAUCGAGCCGGUUAAGGGCUAUGAGAAGCAGUGCAGUGAGAUUAGAUUAGCGAUCGAAGGUGAGAAGUGGGUUGAGUGUAGUGAGCUCGUUGAGGCGUGUUUCCUUAGCUAUCGUGAUGAGAAGAAAAGUAACGCCAAGAGGCCAGUUAGAAAAAGAAGGCAGUUAAGAGAGAGCUGAAGAAUAGAGAGAAGCGCAGAAGAGCGUAUGGAGAGAUGCAGAGAAUUUAUAGUAAGGAUAGGAAGAAAGCAGCGGCUGCUGUUUUUAGUGGCGCGCGUGGAGGUUGUGGAGUGAGCCUAGAGAGGAGAAUAAGCAGUUUGAAUCAGAAGAUGGAGUAUUGGAAGAGAGUUUUGGGCAGGGAGUCUGACCCGGAUGGUCGUCCGGUUAAGCCUCUGAGGGAGCCAGCUGUUGAGAUCGAGGAGCCGAUUAGUCUAGCAGAGUGCAAGAAAGCGCUGAGAGACCUUAAGCAGACAGCUUCGGGACCAGAUGGAUGGCGUUAGCUGGAAUAGUGUGAAGAGCUUGGGUCCAGGUUGGCUUCAGUACCUUUUUAAUUCCAUCUUGGCGUGCGGGUAUCCUACAAAAUCUUUUAAAAAUUCGCGCACAGUGCUGAUUCCUAAGACAGAAAAACCUAGUGACCCGGGAGAGUUUAGGCCCUUAGCGAUUGCUAGUGUUUUUUGGCAGAGUCUUUCAUAGAAUCUUAGCUAGUAGGUUGGGAGUCUGGGCGCCGUUAGGAGCGAGUCAACGAGCCUUUCAGGUUGGGAUCGA